AUUUAUAUAAUAUAAAUUUAUUAUAUUUGACUUCCAAUCAAAAAAUCUAGAACCUCUAGUAUAAAUA
rnacentral:tRNA from 1 species